rnacentral:rRNA from 1 species
GAUGAACGCUGGCGGCGUGCCUAAUACAUGCAAGUCGAGCGAACGGACGAGAAGCUUGCUUCUUUGAUGUUAGCGGCGCACGGGUGUGUAACACGUGGAAACCCUACCUAUAAGACUGGGAUAACUUAGGGAAACAGGAGCUAAUACCGGAUAAUAUUUUGAACCGCAGGGUUCAAGAGUGAAAGACGGUGUUGCUGUCACUUAUCGUUGGAUUCGGGCUGGAUUGGCUGGUUGGUAAGGUAACGGCUUACGAAGGGAACGAUGGAUAGCCGACCGGGGAGGGGGAUCGGCCACAUUGGAACUGAGACAGGCCCCAUACUCCUACGGAAGGCAGCGGAAGGGAACCUUCCGCAAGGGGGGAAAGCCUGCCGGAGCAACCCGACGUGAGUGAUGAGGGUCUUCGGUUCGUAAGACUCUGUUAUUAGGGAAAAACAGAUUUGUAAGUAACGGUACACAGCUUGACGGUACCGAAUCAGAAAGCCACGGCUAACUACGUG